CCUACGGGUGGCAGCAGUGAGGAAUAUUGGUCAAUGGACGAGAGUCUGAACCAGCCAAGUAGCGUGAAGGAUGACUGCCCUAUGGGUUGUAAACUUCUUUUAUAUGGGAAUAAAAUGUUCCACGUGUGGGAUUUUGUAUGUACCAUAUGAAUAAGGAUCGGCUAACUCCGUGCCAGCAGCCGCGGUAAUACGGAGGAUCCGAGCGUUAUCCGGAUUUAUUGGGUUUAAAGGGAGCGUAGGUGGAUGUUUAAGUCAGUUGUGAAAGUUUGCGGCUCAACCGUAAAAUUGCAGUUGAAACUGGCAGUCUUGAGUACAGUAGAGGUGGGCGGAAUUCGUGGUGUAGCGGUGAAAUGCUUAGAUAUCACGAAGAACUCCGAUUGCGAAGGCAGUUCACUGGACUGCAACUGACACUGAGGCUCGAAAGUGUGGGUAUCAAACAGGAUUAGAUACCCCUGUAGUC
rnacentral:rRNA from 1 species